UACGAAGGGUGCAAGCGUUGCUCGGAAUUAUUGGGCGUAAAGCGCACGUAGGCGGUUCGUUAUGUCGGAUGUGAAAGCCCUUGGCUUAACCGAGGAAGUGCAUCCGAAACUGGCGAGCUAGAGUACGAAAGAGGAUCGCGGAAUUCCCGGUGUAGAGGUGAAAUUCGUAGAUAUCGGGAGGAACACCGGUGGCGAAGGCGGCGAUCUGGGUCGAUACUGACGCUGAGGUGCGAAAGCGUGGGGAGCAAACAGG
rnacentral:rRNA from 1 species